AUUGCGUCUCUGCCUUUUGGCUAAGAUCAAGUGUAGUAUCUGUUCUUAUCAGUUUAUUAUCUGAUACAUCCUCUAUCUGAAGACAAUAUAUUAGAUGGAUUUUUGGAACUAGGAGAUGGAACAGGAACUUGUUCUGUCCACUUGUGCAUCGACCUGGUAUUGCAGUACUUCCAGGAACGGUGCACACACA
rnacentral:snRNA from 1 species